UACGUAGGGGGCAAGCGUUGUUCGGAUUUACUGGGCGUAAAGGGCGCGUAGGCGGCAAUUCAAGUCAGCUGUGAAAUCUCCGGGCUUAACUCGGAACGGUCAGCUGAUACUGCUUUGCUAGAGUGCAGAAAGGGCAAUCGGAAUUCUUGGUGUAGCGGUGAAAUGCGUAGAUAUCAAGAGGAACACCUGAGGCGAAGGCGGGUUGCUAGGCUGACACUGACGCUGAGUGCGCGAAAGCGUGGGGAUCAAACAGG
rnacentral:rRNA from 1 species